GAUGAACGCUGGCGGCGUGCCUAAUACAUGCAAGUCGAGCGAACGGACGAGAAGCUUGCUUCUCUGAUGUUAGCGGCGGACGGGUGAGUAACACGUGGAUAACCUACCUAUAAGACUGGGAUAACUUCGGGAAACCGUAGCUAAUACCGGAUAAUAUUUUGAACCGCAUGGUUCAAAAGUGAAAGACGGUCUUGCUGUCACUUAUAGAUGGAUCCGCGCUGCAUUAGCUAGUUGGUAAGGCAACGGCUUACCAAGGCAACGAUGCAUAGCCGACCUGAGAGGGUGAUCGGCCACACUGGAACUGAGACACGGUCCAGACUCCUACGGGAGGCAGCAGUAGGGAAUCUUCCGCAAUGGGCGAAAGCCUGACGGAGCAACGCCGCGUGAGUGAUGAAGGUCUUCGGAUCGUAAAACUCUGUUAUUAGGGAAGAACAUAUGUGUAAGUAACCGUGCACAUCUUGACGGUACCUAAGCAGAAAGCCACGGCUAACUACGU
rnacentral:rRNA from 1 species